UUAUAUGAGAGUUUGAUCCUGGCUCAGGAUGAACGCUGGCGGCGUGCCUAAUACAUGCAAGUCGAACGAGUUCUGAUUAUUGAAGGGUGCUUGCAUCUUGAUUUAAUUUUGAACGAGUGGCGGACGGGUGAGUAACACGUGGGUAACCUGCCCUUAAGUGGGGGAUAACAUUUGGAAACAGAUGCUAAUACCGCAUAAAUCCAAGAACCGCAUGGUUCUUGGCUGAAAGAUGGCGUAAGCUAUCGCUUUUGGAUGGACCCGCGGCGUAUUAGCUAGUUGGUGAGGUAACGGCUCACCAAGGCAAUGAUACGUAGCCGAACUGAGAGGUUGAUCGGCCACAUUGGGACUGAGACACGGCCCAAACUCCUACGGGAGGCAGCAGUAGGGAAUCUUCCACAAUGGACGCAAGUCUGAUGGAGCAACGCCGCGUGAGUGAAGAAGGCUUUCGGGUCGUAAAACUCUGUUGUUGGAGAAGAAUGGUCGGCAGAGUAACUGUUGUCGGCGUGACGGUAUCCAACCAGAAAGCCACGGCUAACUACGUGCCAGCAGCCGCGGUAAUACGUAGGUGGCAAGCGUUAUCCGGAUUUAUUGGGCGUAAAGCGAGCGCAGGCGGUUUUUUAAGUCUGAUGUGAAAGCCCUCGGCUUAACCGAGGAAGUGCAUCGGAAACUGGGAAACUUGAGUGCAGAAGAGGACAGUGGAACUCCAUGUGUAGCGGUGAAAUGCGUAGAUAUAUGGAAGAACACCAGUGGCGAAGGCGGCUGUCUGGUCUGUAACUGACGCUGAGGCUCGAAAGCAUGGGUAGCGAACAGGAUUAGAUACCCUGGUAGUCCAUGCCGUAAACGAUGAAUGCUAGGUGUUGGAGGGUUUCCGCCCUUCAGUGCCGCAGCUAACGCAUUAAGCAUUCCGCCUGGGGAGUACGACCGCAAGGUUGAAACUCAAAGGAAUUGACGGGGGCCCGCACAAGCGGUGGAGCAUGUGGUUUAAUUCGAAGCAACGCGAAGAACCUUACCAGGUCUUGACAUCUUUUGAUCACCUGAGAGAUCAGGUUUCCCCUUCGGGGGCAAAAUGACAGGUGGUGCAUGGUUGUCGUCAGCUCGUGUCGUGAGAUGUUGGGUUAAGUCCCGCAACGAGCGCAACCCUUAUGACUAGUUGCCAGCAUUUAGUUGGGCACUCUAGUAAGACUGCCGGUGACAAACCGGAGGAAGGUGGGGAUGACGUCAAAUCAUCAUGCCCCUUAUGACCUGGGCUACACA
rnacentral:rRNA from 1 species